rnacentral:rRNA from 1 species
GUGGGGAAUAUUGGGCAAUGGGGGGAACCCUGACCCAGCCAUGCCGCGUGAGGGAAGUAGGCCCUACGGGUCGUGAACCUCUUUUGUCCAGGGACAAGGACGGCGUCGGGAACGUCGUUUGAGGGUACUGGAAGAAUAAGCAUCGGCUAACUCCGUGCCAGCAGCCGCGGUAAUACGGAGGAUGCGAGCGUUAUCCGGAUUCAUUGGGUUUAAAGGGUGCGCAGGCGGCCGGGCAAGUCAGCGGUGAAAGUCAGGGGCCCAACCCCGGAAGUGCCGUUGAUACUGUUCGGCUGGAAUGCGGUCGAGGCGGGCGGAAUGUGGCGUGUAGCGGUGAAAUGCGUAGAUAUGCCACAGAACGCCGAUAGCGAAGGCAGCUCGCCAGGCCUGCAUUGACGCUCGGGCACGAAAGCGUGGGGAUCGAACAGG